UUAUACAAUGUAUGAGAAACUUUAUUGCACCAAAGAAACUAGGGCAUAUUUUUUACUCGUUUCAUAUUGAGCUGCUUUUUCACAUAUAUACUCUGUUCAGUUCCUGUAUUCAUUACAUGCUUAAACCACCUCAGUCUGUUUUCCAGCUACUAGGUACCAACAUCUGAUAACUUUCUAAUUUGUAAUAUGAUCUCAAUGUACUCAAGUACUGAAUUUUAGUUUUCUUUUCAGAAAACUAAAAGCAGCACAACAGACAAUGCGAAGGUCAAAAAAGUUCCAAUGAUUUGGACUAGAUGGGAACUCGGGUAGAAGUUUUGUGAUGUGUAUAAUCCUGUGAAGGGGCCAUCUGACAUAAAAACUAUUAAUGAUAACUUAUGGAGUCCAGUGACAAAUGCACAGUUAGCUGAGGUUGGAUGGGUAACAUUGUUGUAUGUAUCAUCAGCUACAGUGGUCUUCACAGGCUUUUGUGUGGUGCAACAGUUACUAUAUGUCUUCAGAGGCCAAACUGCAUAUGAGUAUAAUAAGGAAUGAGAUUAAAAGCCUAAUAGUUGGUGUAGCCGUUUUCAUGGUAAGUUUACAAAUGUAACUAUUUUGUAUAGUAAUAUAUUUUAUCGUUUAAAUACCAGCUUCAGGCUCUUCAUCUCCUUCAAAAAUGUUUUGUAAAUUUAGCCAUUGAUUGUUGUAUGGUUAGUUGGUUCCUGAUUUGUAAUUGUUUGAAAACCUAGUUUUUUUUCUUUUUAGUAUUCAUG